AUUGCACAAUGGGCGAAAGCCUGAUGCAGCCAUGCCGCGUGUAUGAAGAAGGCCUUCGGGUUGUAAAGUACUUUCAGUUGUGAGGAAGGGUGUGUAGUUAAUAGCUGCAUAUCUUGACGUUAGCAACAGAAGAAGCACCGGCUAACUCCGUGCCAGCAGCCGCGGUAAUACGGAGGGUGCGAGCGUUAAUCGGAAUUACUGGGCGUAAAGCGCAUGCAGGUGGUUCAUUAAGUCAGAUGUGAAAGCCCGGGGCUCAACCUCGGAACUGCAUUUGAAACUGGUGAACUAGAGUGCUGUAGAGCGGGGUAGAAUUUCAGGUGUAGCGGUGAAAUGCGUAGAGAUCUGAAGGAAUCCAGUGGCCGAAAGCCGUCCCCUUGACAAGCACUGACCCUCAGAUGCGAAAGCUUGGGGCAGCAAACCGGAUUAGAUACCCUUGUAGUCCACGCUGUAAACGAUGUCUACUUGAGGUUGUGGCCUGAGCCGUGGCUUCGAGCUAACGCGUUAAGUAGACCGCCUGGGGAGUACGUUCGCAUAACUAAGAUGCGGCCGAA
rnacentral:rRNA from 1 species